rfam:Cephalotus follicularis DNA, scaffold: scaffold2530, isolate: St1.
CAAAAGGUUGCUCUAGCAACCACAGCAACUUCCUCUGCAAAACAAACU